rnacentral:tRNA from 1 species
AGCCCCGUGGUGUAGCGGUCAAGCAUGGCGGGCUCUGGACCCGCAGACGGCGGUUCGAAUCCGCCCGGGGCUA